AUGCUUACUUCUGCAACACAUAUACUAAAAUUGGAAUAAUACAGAGAUUACCACAGCCUCUGCAUGAGGAUAACAUGCAAAUUCAUGACACCUUCUACACUGUU
rnacentral:snRNA from 1 species